rnacentral:tRNA from 1 species
GGGCGGAUGGUCUAGCUGGUAUGACGUUGCCCUUACAAGGCAAAGGUCGGGAGUUCGAAUCUCCCUCGGCCCA